rnacentral:rRNA from 1 species
AUUGAACGCUGGCGGCAUGCCUUACACAUGCAAGUCGAACGGCAGCACGGGUGCUUGCACCUGGUGGCGAGUGGCGAACGGGUGAGUAAUACAUCGGAACAUGUCCUGUAGUGGGGGAUAGCCCGGCGAAAGCCGGAUUAAUACCGCAUACGAUCUACGGAUGAAAGCGGGGGACCUUCGGGCCUCGCGCUAUAGGGUUGGCCGAUGGCUGAUUAGCUAGUUGGUGGGGUAAAGGCCUAACAAGGCGACGAUCAGUAGCUGGUCUGAGAGGACGACCAGCCACAAUGGGACUGAGAACCUGCCACGACCCCAACGGGCGGCAGCAGUGGGGAAUUUGGGAAAAAGGGGGAAAGCCUUAUCCAGCAAUGCCGGGUGUGUGAAGAAGGCCUGUGGGUUGUAAAGAACUUUUUUCCGAAAAAAAACCCUUGCCCCUAAUACGGGCGGGGGAUGACGGUACCGGAAGAAUAAGCCCCGGCUAACUACGU